GGCCGGCUGGCUCAAUGGCAGAGCGUCUGACUACGAUUAUCUAGAUCUCAUCCAGAGACUUAUGAUUUAAGUAAUCAGGAGGUUCCAGGUUCGACCCCUGGGUUGGUCG